ACACAUCGUUUUGAUAUGCUAAUGAAGGGAUAAUGAGUUAUGACGUCAUAAUAUACGCCCCGCCUCUGUAUUACCAUAUAUAGAACAUAUACCGAAAACAGCAGUUUAAGCAUAAAAUACGGCUUGUUUAAUACUCCAUAAGCAAAAUAUAACUACGAAUCACUCAUGUGUGUUUUUAUAAGUUUACAACAAUCAGAAUAUACGAAGAAUUUCCAUAACGCAUCUGUCGUAUGGGUGUGAAUCUGCGUCCCAAAAGCGCUCGUCAGACGAUGUAAACACGUGUAGCUGGUAUUCCCGAUGAUGGCGAUCUUUUGAUGAUUUAUCAGAGUAAUUUGAAAAGCGUCACACUGAUUUGAAAAAAAAAAGGCUGGAAGAAAAUCUGGUACCUGCUUUGUCUUGAGAUUUACAUAAAUGAUGUUCUUAUUGGUGAUCAUUUACCCGCACCCUUAUCCUGGUGUCAUAUACAAGAUGAAAUGAUGGAAAAAAAAACCUGAACUUUAGGAACAGGAAGACUGUGUUUUUGAAGAGAGAAGAGGACCAGAACUAGGAAGUCAUACAAUAAACACAUUAACAUCAUAAAAAGAAAUUCCAAUUUUGAGUUUGCAUGCAUAUGUCAGGUUAAAAUGUUGUCACAGAAUUUUUUUUCAGAAGGUCCCUUUAUCUUCUUGAAUUAAUAAAACAAAUGAACCAAAUAUAAUUGUUUCUAUAUAUAUAAUUUUGUUUGAGAAGUGGAAAGGGGAUGGUAUGUAAAUGGGCGGGAGAGAGAGUCUCUCACAUAGGAUAAUUCAGACUUAUUUAAAUUCAAUAUAUUGAUGUGAACCAAAAAUGGCUUUUGAUCGCCUUGUUGCAGGAUUUACACACUCUCUUUCCUUUCUCGGUAAUGAGAAAUGAGCGUUUAGAAUUUAUUUUGUGAAUGAAGAGAUAUGCUAACC